GUGGCUGCAGGGGAGAGGCGAUCAGUGCAGACAGAAGAGAAAGCUGAAUUCACUCAAAGAACACAUUAGUGGUGUGUCUCUUCGUCAUAUUAUAAACUACAAAGUCCUUCUGGAGUGCAAGUCAAAAAUUCAUACUAGGUUUGGCAGCAUGCUGGUUUAAUGUAAAUUACUUCCAAUAAUCAAAAUUUUCUUCAGCCAAUUUCCAUAUUUUCUCUUGAAUUCAGUUCUUGUCUUGAAAUAACGCGAACACUGAGAUGGUGCAACGAUGUCAGAAGUCAGGGACAAGCUGUGAAUUUAACAUGAUUAGACUGAAAUAUUGCAAUAUAAACAGAGAUAGAACUUGUAGACUUUUGGAAAAGGCCUACACAGGAAGCCUAGUUACGACACGUCUACCACUACUGCCUGCAAUCCAAACUCAGAAGAAUAAAUUUUAUAGAAAUCCAACAACAGAUGAGAAGGAAAAGUGUCAUCCCUGCAUUAAUCAGGCAUACACAGUUAAAUCAAGCAGCAUGAAAAAUAACUGAAGCUGUACAGAGUAAAAUUUAUCACUG